rfam:Schistosoma margrebowiei strain Zambia genome assembly, scaffold: SMRZ_scaffold0000419
AGCUUUUAGAAUCCGUGCAGAGAUUUGGUCAGACUUCAACCCAUUAGGACUGAUCAGACUUCCAAGUGAAGCU